rnacentral:rRNA from 1 species
GGUAAAUUACUUAUACCAUCCGCCCGGGAACUACGAGCAUUAGCUUAAAACCCAAAGGACUUGGCGGUGCUUAAUAACCCCCUAGAGGAGCCUGUUCUAGAACCGAUACCCCUCGUUAAACCUCACCCUUUCUAGCUUAUUCCGCCUGUAUACCGCCGUCGCCAGCUUACCCUGUGAAGGUUUCAUAGUAAGCAUAAUUAGUAAAACCCAAAACGUCAGGUCGAGGUGCAGCACACGAAAGGGAAAGAAAUGGGCUACAUUACCUGUUUACAGGUUAAUACGAAAAGUGUACUGAAAAAUACACUAGAAGGAGGAUUUAGUAGUAAGAGGGGAACAGAGUGCCCCACUGAAACCGGCCCUUAAGCGCGCA